rnacentral:rRNA from 1 species
UCCUACGGGGCGCAGCAGUAGGGAAUUUUCGUCAAUGGGCGCAAGCCUGAACGAGCAAUGCCGCGUGAACGAGGAAGGUCUUCGGAUCGUAAAGUUCUGUUGAAGGGGAAAAAGAGCGGAAAGAGGAAAUGCUCUCCGGUUGAUAUUACCCUUCGAGGAAGUCACGGCUAACUACGUGCCAGCAGCCGCGGUACUACGUAUGGGGCAAGCGUUAUCCGGUUUUACUGGGAG